rnacentral:rRNA from 1 species
UACAGAGGGGGCAAGCGUUAUUCGGAAUUAUUGGGCGUAAAGGGCGCGUAGGCGGCUUGGCAAGUGGAUGGUGAAAUCCCUCGGCUUAACCGAGGAACUGCCGUCCAAACUGCUUAGCUUGAGACCGGGAGAGGUGAGUGGAAUUCCCAGUGUAGCGGUGAAAUGCGUAGAUAUUGGGAGGAACACCAGUGGCGAAGGCGGCUACCUGGACCGGAACUGACGCUGAUGCGCGAAAGCGUGGGUAGCAAACAGG